ACUAUCCUACGGGACGCAGCAGUGGGGAAUAUUGGACAAUGGGGGGAACCCUGAUCAAGCGACGCCGCGUGAGUGAAGAAGUAUUUCGGUAUGUAAAGCUCUAUCAGCAGGGAAGAAAGAAAUGACGGUACUUGACUAAGAAGCCCCGGCUAACUACGUGCCAGCAGCCGCGGUAAUACGUAGGGGGCAAGCGUUAUCCGGAUUUACUGGGUGUAAAGGGAGCGUAGACGGCGAUGCAAGUCUGAAGUGAAAGGCGGGGGCCCAACCCCCGGACUGCUUUGGAAACUGUAUAGCUGGAGUCAGGG
rnacentral:rRNA from 1 species